rnacentral:rRNA from 1 species
UACGGAGGAUCCAAGCGUUAUCCGGAAUCAUUGGGUUUAAAGAGUCCGUAGGCGGUUUAGUAAGUCAGUGGUGAAAGCCCAUCGCUCAACGGUGGAACGGCCAUUGAUACUGCUAGACUUGAAUUAUUAGGAAGUAACUAGAAUAUGUAGUGUAGCGGUGAAAUGCUUAGAGAUUACAUGGAAUACCAAUUGCGAAGGCAGGUUACUACUAAUGGAUUGACGCUGAUGGACGAAAGCGUGGGUAGCGAACAGG